ACCUGGCUUAGUUAAGGGACACACAAUGAUAAGAUUUCCAUCAACCAUCUCAGGCCCUUUUGAUAGGAAUCCAUCUCUAUUUCUAUAUGGCAUCCUCCAAGUAGCCUUAGACAUCG